GUAGGGAGCGAGCGUUGUCCGGAUUUACUGGGUGUAAAGGGUGCGUAGGCGGGAUGGCAAGUCAGAUGUGAAGUACCGGGGCUUAACCCCGGGGCUGCAUUUGAAACUGUCGUUCUUGAGUGAAGUAGAGGCAGGCGGAAUUCCUAGUGUAGCGGUGAAAUGCGUAGAUAUUAGGAGGAACACCAGUGGCGAAGGCGGCCUGCUGGGCUUUAACUGACGCUGAGGCACGAAAGCAUGGGGAGCAAACAGGAUUAGAUACCCUGGUAGUCCAUGCCGUAAACGAUGAUUGCUAGGUGUGGGGGGACUGACCCCUUCCGUGCCGGAGUAAACACAAUAAGCAAUCCACCUGGGGAGU
rnacentral:rRNA from 1 species